rnacentral:rRNA from 1 species
GACCCGACUGCUAUUUGGGUGAGGAUAAGCCAUGCGAGUUGAAUGGGAAACCUAAUGUUCCCAUGGCAAACUGCUCAGUAACACAUGAUCAACUUAACCUAUAGAGAAAAAUAACCUCGGGAAACUGAGGAUAAUGUUUCAUAGUUGAAUUGGCUUGGAAAAGUUUUUCGACGAAAGGGGUAAAAAAAAUGGUUUUUAUCUGCUAUAGGAUAGGAUCGUGUUCGAUUAUGGUUGUUGGUGAGGUAAUGGCUCACCAAGCCGAUAAUCGAUAGGGGCCGUGAGAGCGGGAGCCCCGAGAUGGGUACUGAGACAACGACCCAGGCCUUACGAGGCGCAGCAGGCGCGAAACCUCCGCAAUACACGAAAGUGUGACGGGGUUACCCAAAGUGUUCAAUUUUGAACUGUGGUAGGUGAGUAAUGUUCCCUACUAGAAAGGAGAGGGCAAGGCUGGUGCCAGCCGCCGCGGUAAAACCAGCUCUUCAAGUGGUCGGGAUAAUUAUUGGGCUUAAAGUGUUCGUAGCCGGUUUGGUAAGUUCCUGGUAAAAUCGGGUAGCUUAACUAUCUAUAUGCUAGGAAUACUACUAUACUAGAGGGCGGGAGAGGUCUGAGGUACUACAGGGGUAGGGGUGAAAUCUUAUAAUCCUUGUUGGACCACCAGUGGCGAANGCGUCAGACUGGAACGCGCCUGACGGUGAGGGACGAAAGCCAGGGGAGCGAACCGGAUUAGAUACCCGGGUAGUCCUGGCCGUAAACGAUGCAUACUANGUGAUGGCACGGCCAUGAGCCGUGUCAGUGCCGUNNGGAAACCGUUAAGUGUGCCGCCUGGGAAGUACGGUCGCAAGGCUAAAACUUAAA